ensembl:lncRNA
CUUUCACUUGUAAACAAAUGCUCAGGGCUUCCCCAGUGGCUCGGAUGGCAAUGAAUCUGCCUGCAAUGUGAGAGACCCAGAUUGGAUCCCUGGGUGGGGAAGAUCCCCUGGAGCAAGGAAUGGCAACCCACUCCAGUAUUCUUGCCUGGAGAAUUCCAUGGACAGAGAAGCCUGGCAGGUACAGUCCAUAGGAUUGCAAAGAGUCAGACAUGAGUGAUUGUCUAGUUUUACCAACAACAUUUAUUGAAGAGACUAUCCUUUUCCCAUGGAGUGUUCUUGGCAUCCUUUUCAAAUAUAAAAUUAUCAUAUAAAUGGGAGUUUCUAUGCUGGAGCAAACUGGAACAAACUGUGGAAAAUUCUUAAAGAGAUGGGAAUACCAGACCACUUUACCUGCCUCCUGAGAAAUCUGUAUGCAAGUCAAGAAGCAACAGUUAGAACCAAACAUGAAACAAUGGACUGGUUCCAAAUUGGGAAAGGAGUACAUAAAGGCUGUAUAUUGUCACCCUGCUUAUUUAACUUAUAUGCAGAGUACAUCAUGUGAAAUGCCAGGCUGGAUAAAGCUCAAGAUGGAAUCUAGAUUGCCAAGAGAAAUAUCAAUAACCUCAGAUAUGCAGAUGAUACCACCCUUAUGGCAGAAAGCAAAGAGGAACUAAAGAGACUCCUGACAAAGGUAAAAGAGUAGAAUGAAAAAGCUGGCUUAAAACUCAACGUUCAAAAAAUUAAGAUCAUGGUGUUUGGUCCCAUCAUUUCAUGGCAAAUAUGGGGAAACAGUGGAAACAGUGACAGACUUCAUUUUCUUGGGCUCUAAAAUCACUGCAGAUGGUGAUUGCGGCCAUGAAAUUAAAAGAUGCUUGCUCUUUGGAAGAAAAGCUAUGACAAACCUAGACAGCAUAUUAAAAAGCAGAGAUAUUACUUUACCAACAAAAGUCCAUCUAGUCAAAGCUAUGGUUUUUCCAGUAGUCAUGUAUAAACGUGAGAGUUGGACCAUAAAGAAAGCUGAGUGCCAAAGAAUUGAUGCUUUUGAACUGUGAUGUUGGAGAAGACUUUUGAGAGUCCCUUGGACUUCAAGGAGAUCAAACCAGUCAAUCCUAAAAGAAAUCAACCCUGAAUAUCCUUUGGAAGGACUGUUGCUGAAGCUGAAGCUCCAAUAAUUUGGCCACCUGAUGCAAAGAGCCAACUCAUUGGAAAAAACCCUAAUGCUGGAGAAGAUUGAAGGCAGGAGGAGAAGGGGACGGGAUGACGGAGGAUGAGAUGGUUAGCUAGCAUCACCAACUCAAUGGACAUGAAUCUGAGCAAACUCCAGGAGACAGACGAGGACAGAGGAGCCUGGCGUGCUGCAGUCCAUUGGGUUGCAUAGAGUUAGACAAGACUUAGCAACUGAACAACAACCACAGUGGAUAUAUGACAACUAGAUCCAAUGUGGAAUUCUGACUUGGAUAUUCUGUACAGAAGAAUGUUAUUGGGGCAAAACUUAAAUGGUGUCUGAGAAUUGGAGUAUCAUAGUAAAGCAAUAUUAGUUCCUCAUUUAAUGAUUACAUUAUAGUUAUAUAAGAGAACAUUCUUAUUUGUAGGAAAUACACAAUGAAACACCAUGGCACCAAUUUUCUCCCAAUUGGUACAGAGCAGGAAAAAAAAAAAUUCUUUAUAAUUGUUUCCGAGUCAGAAAAGCUUUUUAAAUUUAUCUUCCGUAAAUCUUAAUACAAAAAAUUCAAUUUCUUGUAACUAGAACAUUCUGAUUAAAUUGCCAAAAUAAUGUGUUUUUUUUUUUUUCCUCUCCAGGACACUCUGUAAUAAAUAUAUCCUGCCUCUAGCCACUUUUCUCAGUCUUUUCUGUUACUGCCUCAGUCUGAGCCAGGGGCCUCCUGCUGUUGAACCUAAGCCUACAUAUUUCCACCUCUGCACACUUGUGAUCUGUUCUUCACAUAGUGACUAGAGUGACCUUUCAAAAUUAGCCAGAUCUUACACCCCUCUGCUUUCACAAUUUAUCUGGCUUCCUGUGACUGUCAGAAUAAAACCUUAAGUGUCUACCACAGCCUUUCCAUCCCUCCCUGAGGCAUCAGGACAGUUUCCUGGCUCUCCUCCUUCUCUCAUUCACCGCUCUCAUUAUUCUUCUCUCAUUCACCACUGUUGCCUUAGAGUAUUUUGAGUUACUCUGCUUGGAAGCCUGAUUACUCCACUUCAAAAGGGUAUCUCUGAGUUUCUCAACCUGAAGAGGCUUUUUCUGUUCCAAUUCUUAGUUUCUAUCUUAUCAACUUAUCCAGAUUUUCUCCAGAUUUUCUCCAUUGAAUGUAAGAAUUGCUGGAAUCAACUUCUUUCCUUGUUUCCUGUUGACCAUCCAUAACUAGGCAGAGAUCUUGCUCCCCAACUCAGUGCUAUGUUUCAAGGCCUAGAACUAAACCUGGUCCUCAUUGUGAAUUAAUGAAUGAAUGAAUUACACAAUAUAGGCUCUGUGGGAAUAACUUUUGAAUCAUGAAAAUGUUUUUUCAGUUCAAAAAAUCAAAUCAAAGUAAAAAAGAAAAUGAACAGUUGACAAUUAUGAAAGUCAGAGCUUAUAAUUUAAAUAAUUUUUGAACAUGGUACUCUGGCCGUAUACUCUUAGUGAAAUUAGUUUUUACACCUUUUUAGUGAAAUGUAUUCUAAAAACAAGCAAAACUGUUAAACAGUACAUUUUUUGUUGGUAAACAUAUGAUGUGGUAACUGAAACUAUUUUGUGUGUAGUAUGUGUGUGCUCAGUUGUGUCUGACUCUUCGUGACCCCACAGACUAUAGCCUGCCAGGCUUCUCUGUCCAUGGGAUUUUUCAGGCAAGAAUACUGGAGUGGGUUGCCAUUUCCUCCUCCAGGGAACCUCGCUGACCCAGGGAUCAAACCCACAUUUUCUGCAUUGUCAGGUGGAUUCUUUACCUCAGACCCACUUGGGAAGUGUAAUAUAGAAGAAAGCAAUUAAUAAAUUGUUCACAACCAAGCUUCUCAUUGUGAGAAAAGUAAGUUACAAAUAUGGAUGGGGGAAGGAGAGGAAAAGCCAUAUAAAUUUAUAAUUUAAGAUAAUAUAAAUAAUACAUAUACACACAUAUUUGUAUUUAUAUUCAUAUAUGUUCUACUGCUGCUACUGCUGCUAAGCUGCUUCAGUUGUGUCCGACUCUGCGACCCCAUAAACGGCAGCCCACUAGGCUCCCCCGUCCCUGGGAUUCUCCAGGCAAGAACACUGGAGUGGGUUGCCAUUUCCUUCUCCAGUGCAUGAAAGUGAAAAGUGAAAGUGAAGUCGCUCUGUUGUGUCCUACUCUUCGGGACCCCAUGGACUGCAGCCCACCAGGCUCCUCUGUCCAUGGGAUUUCCCAGGCAAGAGUACUGGAGUGGGGUGCCAUUGCCUUCUCCAAUAUAUGUUCUAGGUCCUCUUAAAAGGUCUAAAGUCAAUGACAACCCUAAUUGUUGCACACUUAAAAAUAGUUACAAUAGUAAACUUUAUGUUAUGUGCUUUAAAAUAAAUAAACAAAUUUUUUAAAAGGAA